rnacentral:rRNA from 1 species
GACGAACGCUGGCGGCGUGCCUAAUACAUGCAAGUAGAACGCACAGUUUAUACCUUAGCUUGCUACACCAUAGACUGUGAGUUGCGAACGGGUGAGUAACGCGUAGGUAACCUGCCUGGUAGCGGGGGAUAACUAUUGGAAACGAUAGCUAAUACCGCAUAAUAUUAAUUAUUGCAUGAUAAUUAAUUGAAAGGUGCAAUUGCACCACUACCAGAUGGACCUGCGUUGUAUUAGCUAGUAGGUGAGGUAACGGCUCACCUAGGCGACGAAACAUAGCCGACCUGCGAGGGUGAUCGGCCACACUGGGACGGUGACACGGCCCAGACUCCUACGGGAGGCAGCAGUAGGGAAUCUUCGGCAAUGGACGGAAGUCUGACCGAGCAACGCCGCGUGAGUGAAGAAGGUUUUCGGAUCGUAAAGCUCUGUUGUAAGGGAAGAACGGGUGUGAGAGUGAAAAGUUCACACUGUGACGGUAUCUUACCAGAAAGGGACGGCUAACUACGUG